rnacentral:rRNA from 1 species
CCUACGGGUGGCAGCAGUGGGGAAUCUUCCACAAUGGGGGAAACCCUGAUGCAGCGACGCCGCGUGAGUGAAGAAGUAAUUCGUUAUGUAAAACUCUAUCAGCAGGGAAGAAAAUGACGGUACCUAAGUAAGAAUCCCCGGCUAACUACGUGCCAGCAGCCGCGGUAAUACGUAGGGGGCAAGCGUUAUCCGGAUUUACUGGGUGUAAAGGGAGCGUAGACGGUGCGCCAAGUCUGGAGUGAAAUGCGCCAGCUUAACUGGGGAAGUGCAUUGGAAACUGGCGAACUAGAGUGCGGGAGGGGUAAGCGGAAUUCCUAGUGUAGCGGUGAAAUGCGUAGAUAUAAGGAGGAACACCGGUGGCGAAGGCGGCUUACUGGACCGUAACUGACGUUGAGGCUCGAAAGCGUGGGGAGCAAACAGGAUUAGAUACCCGGGUAGUC